rnacentral:rRNA from 1 species
UACAGAGGGGGCAAGCGUUGUUCGGAAUUACUGGGCGUAAAGGGCGCGUAGGCGGCCAACUAAGUCGGACGUGAAAUCCCCAGGCUCAACCUGGGAACUGCGUCCGAUACUGGAUGGCUUGAAUCCGGGAGAGGGAUGCAGAAUUCCAGGUGUAGCGGUGGAAUGCGUAGAUAUCUGGAAGAACACCGGUGGCGAAGGCGGCUCGCUGGGCUGGUUCUGACACUCAUCCGCGAAAGCGUGGGGAGCAAACAGG